rnacentral:tRNA from 2 species
UAAUUAAUUAAUUGGCAGAAAAAUGCAUUAGAAUUAGAAUCUAAUUAAACUCUUA